rnacentral:tRNA from 1 species
CGGAGUGUAGCGCAGUCUGGUAGCGCACCUCGUUCGGGACGAGGUGGUCGAAGGUUCGAAUCCUCUCACUCCGACCA